AUGAUUCUAGAGCAAGUUACAUCCAUAGAAAAUCCUCUAGAAGUUCUGCUCAACAGGAAAGUCAUAAAGAAGUGCCACAGCACUAUUGCUAUUGAUCGGACAUUCACUAUUGCAUUACCUGAAUGGAAUGGCAGCAAUCUUCUUAGUCCCUGCGCAUUCAAGAACAAGUCCAUCCAAUCUUACCGUUCUUUAACCUACGAGUGCUUCUGGCAUAAGCGUUGCUAG